GUUUUAUUUUAGCAUUAAAAAUAAUAAUUAUUACUAAGAGGUUUUAAUAAUGCAACAUACAAUACCUCCUCGAGGCAGUAUCACAUAGGGACAAAGAAACACAGUUCACUUGAUAAUAUAUCUGAUUAAAAAACCAGAACAAGUAUCACUGUAUUAAGAGGUACAAGAAAAAGCCACAUAAACACACAGUACUACCACAUUAAGCAGAAACAGUUCUAGAGAACCAUUAUUUGUCACAAGGUUCUUGGACUGCCUAGCUAGAUGGAUGCUGAUAACGCCUCGGAUUCGUCGAACAAACUGAUGCUGAAGCUAAAAGUUAUGCAUGACAGUUGCUUGUUCUUUUCAUCCACCAUCUUCAUUGUCAGAGUGUAUGAUCCAGGUGGGGUAAAUCCAGGCAACUCUUGUGAGUGGGAAAUGACGAAAUCACCGGACGCUGGGCAAGAUGUCUCUUUACAAAGGUCAAUGUCCUCAUGGUGGACAUUUAAGAAGAAAUACUUGACAUCAAUCUCCAGCUUUCCUCCAGUGAGAUUCCUACCGGUCUCUGCAGUAAUACUGAAUGUUGUUGUUCUACCUCCCUUAAUAGGAUAAGGAGUUAUAUCUAUUUGACUGACCUUAACAUCAUAGUUGGCCUUUUUAUUGCAAUAAUCGAAAUCGGUGGAUUUAGCUGAAGUGAGUGAAGAGACAAGACAUAGUAAGAAGAGAAGAGUGAUGAAGAGUUUCAUAGCUGCCAUUGCCAUUGAUUGAAGCAAAGUACAAA
rnacentral:misc_RNA from 1 species